UCCGUCAUGGGAGAUGGCAUGCCUCCCCGAACCGCCUGACGGCUGAUGAUGCCUACCGGCCA
rnacentral:ncRNA from 2 species